GAUGAACGCUGGCGGCGUGCUUAACACAUGCAAGUCGAACGGUGAAGCAGAGCUUGCUCUGUGGAUCAGUGGCGAACGGGUGAGUAACACGUGAGCAAUCUGCCCCUGACUCUGGGAUAAGCGCUGGAAACGGCGUCUAAUACCGGAUACGAGCUGCGAAGGCAUCUUCAGCAGCUGGAAAGAAUUUCGGUCAGGGAUGAGCUCGCGGCCUAUCAGCUCGUUGGGGGGGUAACGGCCUACCAAGGCGACGACGGGUAGCUGGUCUGAGAGGACGACCAGCCACACUGGAACUGAGAUACGGUCCAGACUCCUACGGGAGGCAGCAGUGGGGAAUCUUGCACAAUGGGCGAAAGCCUGAUGCAGCGACGCCGCGUGAGGGAUGACGGCCCUCGGGUUGUAAACCUCUUUCGGCAGGGACGAAGCGAUCAGUGACGGUACCUGCAGAAGAAGUCCCGGCUAACUACGUGCCAGCCGCCGCGGUAAGAC
rnacentral:rRNA from 1 species